GACGGAGGGUGCUAGCGUUGUUCGGAAUGACUGGGCGUAAAGCGUGCGCAGGCGGUUUGCUAAGACAGGUGGGAAAUCCCCGGGCUUAACCUGCGAACUGCGCUUGUAACUGGCAAGCUAGAGUGUGGCAGAGGGGGGUGGAAUUCCAGGUGUAGCAGUGAAAUGCGUAGAGAUCUGGAGGAACACCGAUGGCGAAGGCAGCCCCCUGGGCUAACACUGACGCUCAUGCACGAAAGCGUGGGGAGCAAACAGG
rnacentral:rRNA from 1 species